AAGUCGUAACAAGGUUUCCGUAGGUGAACCUGCGGAAGGAUCAUUAACACGUAUCCAAACGUUAAAACCCCCCCCGUGAACCUUCAUCCUGCUCUUGUAACCCGCGUAGUUCGCAAUCUCUGAUAAAUCAUAGCCCGGAAAGUUGUAGUGAUUCAGAGACCUCUGGCUACGUGCGAACAUUGGACACUGGGUAAAAAAACCGAACAACUGUUAACAAUGGAUAUCUUGGUUCUC
rnacentral:misc_RNA from 1 species